rnacentral:misc_RNA from 2 species
AACGCACAUGGCGCCUUCCAGUAUCCUGGGAGGCAUGCCUGUCCGAGCGUCGUUUCAACCCUCGAGCCCUCGUGGCCCGGCGUUGGGGAUCUGCCACGGCAGGCCCCGAAAUACAGUGGCGGACCCGUUAGGCCCUUCCUUUGCGUAGUAGCAUUAGCCUCGCAUCGGGAGCCGGCGGGCUCUCCUGCCUCUAAACCCCCCAACAAGCCCGCUCCGGCGGCACCAAGGUUGACCUCGGAUCAGGUAGGAAUACCCGCUGAACUUAA